rnacentral:tRNA from 1 species
GUCAGGAUGGCCGAGCGGUCUAAGGCGCCAGACUCAAGAGUAAUCUUACCUCAGUCGCUGGGGUUGUGUGAGCGUUCUGGUCCUCUCUGAGGGCGUGGGUUCAAAUCCCACUUCUGACA